GCGGCACUAAAUACCACUGUUGGUGGACAGAGAGGAGUCUAUUUCUGUGGGCCAUUCACACUAGGCAAUGACACUAUAAAUCUGAUUUCUGGUAGUCUAGGAGUCCAUUGCUGCCUCCCUCACACGCACCUUUCUUCAGUGUGGAGGCCUAAGGAGUUGUUUCAGCUUCACUAAGUGCGGGAAAUAAAGACAAUCAUGGCUGAGUGAAAACAGAAAUCAAAGAUCUCCUCCUCUCGAAGGCUGGGGUUGAAGAUCAGACUUCUGACAGUGGCAGCUCAGAUGCUGCAGGACGAGACGGAGCAGAAGCUAAAGGAGAAAGAAGCGACUCUAGCAGAAAGAGUUCCUCCUCUUAGCAUGUCUGGUCAGUCUCUGCAAGAGCUUCAGGUAUUUACCUUUAUUCACAUCGUCCAACACAAA